ensembl:lncRNA
UGUAAAUGUGUGUAUGAUGAUUGUCAACUUGACAUGACAGAGUCUCAGUGAGGGCUUGUCUAGAUUAGGCUGGGCUGUAAGCAUGUCUGUGGGGGUACGCCUCAAUUUCCUUCAUUGAUGAGAGAAGACCUGGCCCUAAAGUGGCUGUCACCAUUUGUUGUAACCCGUCUUUGUGGGGAUUCAGUCGGAUCCAGCUGACUUGUCUGUUUGUACCUGAGAGGGGGAGUGUGGAUUGAGAAACCGCAGGUAAAGAUGCCAAGAAAAAGACAGAGAUCCAGGAUAGAGCUGGGAGUGCAAUCCAGUGAAUACUGAAUGCCCCAAGUUUAUUCUUCAACAUUUUUUUUUUUAGAAGAUUUAUUUAUUUGCCUGCAUGCCAGCAGAGGGCACCAGAUCUCAUUCAAGCACUUUGACGAAACCAUCCCAUCACCUCCCUCUAUAAUUGCCAAUGAGAGAUCGGCCGUCAAUCUUCUCGACUCUCCACGGACUCAGGCUCCUCUAUAUGAAGAUUUGUGGUGCACAACUAUCCAAACAGCAAAUAUAAAAAGGAAAUUGUCAAGCAUUGACAGCAAUGUGAGGAAAGCCCUAGAAGCUGUUGAGGGAAGUGUAGACAUUGUCAUCACACCACUGUACUCCGGGACACUAGCGAGGCAGGGCAUCUUAAAACCUCUAAUCAAAAAAAAAAAAAAAAAAAAAAACACAAAAACAAAAACAAAAAAAACAACAAAAAAACCUCUAAUUAAGCGACUAUAAUUUCAGGCAUCCAUCCCAGAGAAAACUUACACAUGCUUAGAGAAGAGAGAAAUGCACAAAUUUGUUUAAAAGAUCAUGAUUUGUAGUUAAGAGAGGAAGAUAUGAUCCAAUUAACCACAAUGUUUAUCCAUAGGGGAAUGAAAGAAUCAAUUUUGGGAUAUUUGCAAGUAAAGUCCUAAACAGCAGUUAAAAGCCAAUCUGCCAGACAGACCAUACCAAGCAGGUAAAUCUAGAAAGCAAAACAAGGACUAUAAAAGACAAGCAUCAGGCAGUAGACCCAGCACGACAUCCUAUGUAUGGGUAUUGACAGCCCACAGUCCUGUAUUGCUUAUUGCUCAAUGAGAAGCCAUAAGAUCUCAUACUUUUCCUAUAAUGCAAUAAAAUUUAAAAAUGACAGCCAAAUAUAAAGAUAUUAAAAAUGAGUCCUCUCAGAAAUAAAAGUAUAAGAAGUAACUCAUGGCUUGAGGAAAUAACCCAGAGUAAAAGCUACAUAGAAAUAGUUUAACAAUACCAGCUGGACAUACAUUUGUUUGAAGAGGGUAAAUGGGAAACCUGUGAACAGCCUGGGGCACUUCCAUGGUUAUAUAAAUCUUAAACACCAAAAAAACUUUUGUUUUGAAUCAGUUUUGGGUCUGGGCUGGAGGUCUUGACUUGUUAUGUCUCUUGACACGGGAGGAAAGGGAACUAACUGGAAUAUUGCUCUGAAAUUUUCCUUUAAGUGCUGGGUAGGUAGGGAAGGACAAUGGGAUGUCGGGGAACGUGGAGGGAUGUAAAAUGGACAGUAUUAGGUGGACAGGAACUUAAUGCAGGGACAAGCAUUAAGUGCUGGGAGCUGGGGUGGCCAAGCACAGGCAGACGGCUGAAGACCCCGAAGGCCACCUUUGCAUCCUCACAGCCAGACCUGGGACAGUUCAGAUUCAAGUACAAGGAUGGGGAGCCAUGUUCAAGGUGCGGCGCUGCAGCGAGAGGAAGACAGCGAGGAGGAAGGAAGAGACGGCUCGGAAGGCUGCGCCCAGCAAGAAGAAGCAGGACAAAUACUGUCCCAGGAUACCCUAAGGGUGCCGGCUUCCUAACCCGAGGGCACUGUGGCCCUGUGCCAGUGCGGAGGCAGGGGAAUUUAACUGCAUAAUAACUUCAUGUGGAAACUCAGGUGCUAAAGGAAAAUGUACAUGGCAACCUCUGUGAAGAACAGGUUCCGAUGGUGAGCUGCCCCAAGGCCAUCGCCUUCCUGAGAGAAACUGGGCUGGAAAAAACGCGAUGGGAUAGGGACGCACAAUAGCCCACUGGUGAGACGAAUUCCCAGUCUAGUCUCACCCAACCCAUUAAAGAAACUUCAUGCUUGUUCAUCUCGUCUGAUUUUAGCAAAGCGAGACCCCAUCCCCAGUGUUGGCUUGUCUCACCCUCCCCUUCACGCCACCCCCAAGAAACAGAGAGCUUGUUAACCCGCGCACAGCAUUGGAUAUUGGCUCAUUAAUGUGAAUAAUCAGGAAGUACUAAAUUUUGUCUGUCUUCAGUAGAAAUAAAACCUGGGGUUGGAUCAAAACUAUCUGGAGAUUGCUUGAAGCUGGUGGGUCUCUGAGUGUAAUGUGACUUGGGCGUUGUAUCUGAAACACGUCACAAUCGCUAUGUAAUGUUUUUUUCUAUUUAACACUGACUCUGAGGAACAUUGCCCAGUAAAUACUGGAGAAAUUACAUAAAACUCCAAAGGCUGUUCUUUAUAAAUGUCUUGGGCAGGAAUUUAUAGCCACAAUGUCUGACAUAUGGUAGAUUAUCCUGGAUGUUAAUUAAUCUUAUGUUUUGGGAGAAACUGAGAUGUGUGUCUGGAGUUGUUGGAGUCUCCAGGUAGGAAGCCCUGGGUGAUAGCAUUUGCUAACUCCCAUAAUGUAAAUAUUCCCACGGCGAUGAUAUGGUUUUCACAGUAGGAAUGGGAAGAAGUUGACCAGCUGGCUCUCGCAUACAGGUCAUUGCUCUCUAGUGUCCCACACUUUGCUAUCAUCAUUUGACCAUGAACUGCCACAGGCUGGUGCAAAGCAAGACUACUCACCUGUGGGCCUCUAUCAAAGCAGAGUUUUAUAUACAAAGUCAUGGGCUGGAGAGAUGGCUCAGUGGUUAGAGCACUGGAUGCUCUUACAAAGGACCUGGGUUGGGUUCCCAGCAUCCACAUGGUGGCUCACAACCAUCCCUAAGUCCAGGUCGUGGGCAUCUGAUGCCCCCUUCUGGCCGCUAUGGACACUGUAUAGACGGGGUGCACAUAUGUAUGUAUAGACAAAGCACUUGCACCCAUAAAAUAAAAAUGAUAUUAGUACAUAGUGUCAUUACCAAAGAGAUAGAUAAGAUAAACUCAGUUUGUGGAGCUUCAGUGGAGAGAUUUGACACAGGUUUAGAAUGUUACUGUUACUGACAGGGUCUCACAAUGUAGCCCUGGCUGGCCCAGAACUCCCUGUAUAGCCCAGGCUGGCCUCCAGCUCAUCAAUACCUGCUUGCUGCAACAUAGUAUUUUUAAACUUGAAAAAUGGCAUUUGUUUCUAUUUUACAUUUUACUACUGUUUUUUUUUUUUUUUUUUUUUCAAGAGAGGGUUUUCCUGUGUAGUUUUGGAGCCUGUUCUGGAACUAGCUCUUGUAGACCAGGCUGACCUUGAACUCACAGAGCUCCAUCUGCCUCUGCAUCCCGAGUGCUGGGAUUAAAGGCGUGCGCCACCACGCAGCUAUUCUUUUAUUCUUUAUUUUAUUUUAUUUUUUUAAGGUUUAUUUGUUAUGUAUACAGUGUUCUGUCUGCAUGUAUUCCUACAGGCCAGAAGAGGGCACCAGAUCUCAUAACGGAUGGUUGUGAGCCAACAUGUGGUUGCUGGGAAUUGAACUCAGGACCUCUGGAAGAGCACUCAGUGCUCUUAACCUCUGAGCCAACUCUCCAGCCCCUUAUUCUUUAUUUUUGUCUUCUUAUAGCUGUUUAAGUUAGCGCACAAAUGGGUUUCAUCAUGAUGUUGCCAUGCAUAUGUGAAACACAGCAGGUACCCUUCCGCUUUGUUCUUGUUCACUCCUUGCCAUCCUGCUCCCCCUCCCCCACGACAAUUUCCUUCUCUGUGGCCAACAAUCCCUCCUUCUGCUCUUAUACAAUGGUUCAUGCUCUCGCCUGUUCCACCUUUAUUGUCAUUAUCAUUAGUCCAGGAGCUAGCCAAUCGUCAUGCUCAAGGUUCUAAGUUCUUAAAGUUAUUAAAUACAAUUAUUUACUGUAUGUGUGUGUGAGUGCUAAUGUGUGUGAGUAACAUGAGCAUGCAUAUGAGUGUGUGUAUGAGUGGGAGUGCAAACACAAGCAUGUGCGUGAGUGUGUGUGUGAAUACAAGCAUUAUGUGUGCAUGAGUGUGUGUGUGUCUAUGUGGCAUUGAUUCUCUCCUUCUCCCCUGUGAGUUCUGGGGAUCCAGCUCUGGUCAUUUGGUUGGCAGCAGGUGCUUUACCCUCCGGGCUCUCUCCAGCCCUGAGCUCUUAGCUUUUGGGGAGAUUGCCUGAGAAGCUGGGGCUUCUUUCCUUGCUGAUACUGGUGUUAAAGCGGCAGAGACCUAAGGAUUGGUAGAACCUGGAUGUUGGGGAUCCAGUUUCAGGAACUGUGGGUGGGGCGGGGCAGGGGGCAACGCUGGACCUGUGCUUUGGAAAGAUGAUAGACAGCUUUUUGUGGUCCUUAAUAAUUGAGAAAAUAGUUGCUUAGAAGUUGACGAAUUAGAUCAACAAACUUCUUUACUAAAGUUGAGUGAAGGGACUAACACAGAUGAAGCAGGAUGCCCGCAGAGUCCAUGAGCCUUGUCUUUUCCUUUUGAGCCAGGUUAUGACAAAUAGUCUAGGCUGGCCUUGAACUCAUGGCCCUCCUGCCUCACCCUCCUGAGUGCUGGGAUGGCAGGCCCACUCUCCUAACGCAGAUCAUGGCUGUGUUUUUAGAGGUUUUAUCUGCUCUGUCCCUACAAUAUUUUGCACUACCAUGUAUUUUUGAACAAUUCUACUUGGAACAUGGACCAAAGAUGUUUGUGGCUCCCAAGCCUCUGGAUUCUAAAAAGAUUCUCUCCACGGAGGACAGUUGAGCCCGUAUCUCAGGGUAGGGAGAGAAUCAGAGUCAAUUUGUUGCCCUAGGUCCUGGAAGAAGGCAAGGUUGGUGUGAGCACAGGGGAUGGAAAGUCCAUGAAGACAGCAUACUGGGCUCUCCCCAAAGCACACACUCCUCAAACCACUGACUGGAAAGCUGUGUAGUCAUAACCCAACCAGACGAGGUUUACUCUGAAGAUUUUAUUUUAAUAGUCAACUGUUUACAAAUGCAGAAUCUUUUUUUAUUUUUUGAGACAGGGUUUCUCUGUGUAGCUUUGGAGCCUAUCCUGGCACUCGCUCUGGAGACCAGGCUGGCCUCGAACUCACAGAGAUCCACCUGCCUCUGCUUCCCGAGUGCUGGGAUCAAAGGCAUGCGCCACCAACGCCCAGCUACAAAUGCAGAAUCUUAUUAUUUGAUAAAGCAACAGACCUUAGCCUAACAUUGUCAGAAGGGGGCGUCUUAGGACCAACUUAAUCCCAGAGAUGGCUGUGAGGUGUGGCUUAUUUGCUGGGAUGGAACAUGAGGGGAUUGGAGAGAAUGGGGCUCUUCAGUCAUCCUGGAGAAUCUGUAGGAACUGGUUCCAGGUUCUCUUCUCUUUCCAGUGGUCAGGCACUGCCCUUUCUUCGCGCCUCCCAUGAGGAGCCAGGUGAGUUUCAUAAAUGGCUUUAGGAUUUCCUUGUGUAGUCUGGGGUAGAUGCCCAUUGUGCCUAAGACCCCAGUCCCUCAUCCAGGAAGCACAACCCGAGACAGGUUCACGUGGCUUUGGAGUCCUAAGAUGGGUAAUGGUGGCCACAGACAGACACCUGGAGUGGAGGAUGAGGCUUCCCAUGGCUGAGGAACAACAGGAUCAAUGAAGUGUGACAUGAGCACCCAAAAGAAGCCGUAGGGCCAGGAGGGCUCUAAGGGUGGCUAAAUAGAGAACUCGCUCAUGGGCUCUUGAAGGUGUCUUACACACUGCAGCCAAAUGCUCUCUUCCCCCACAGGAUAUUGUUUGGUGUUUAAUUAAAACUUAGAAUGCUUCCAUAGAAGAAACUGAGCAUUUCCCACGCUCAGCCCAGUGGUAGAACCCACCACACACACCAUUUCCCCCUUCCACUGACUUGUGAUACAUCCAAUUAUUAUUUCAUAAGAUAAAAUGUCUUACUUAGUCACGAUGUAGUUCUUUUACAUUUGUUUUUAAAGAUUGUUUUAUUUUAUGCGUAUGAGAGAUUGCCUGCAUGCUUGUCUCUGGACCAUGGAGGCCAGAAGAGGGCUUUAGAUGCCCUGCAGGUAGAGUUACAAGAUGGCUGUGAGCCACCAUGUGGUUGGUGGGAAACAAGCCCACGUCCCCGGGAAGGGCAGCCAGCGCUCUUAACCACUGAGCCAUCUCUCUGGCCGGAUUCUUGAAGUCUCCUAUGGAAGACAGCAGGAGAGAAAGAAGACAAAUGACACAAUCAGCAACAGUAGCAAUGUAACAGAAAUGUAACAUGGCUGCGGUCUCUUGGACACACAGGUAGAACAACACCAGGUUGUUUUGUCUUUAAGAAAGGAUACACAUUUGGGUGACAUUAGCCAGCUAUUUACAGUGUUUCCUCCGAGUGAGGUGACAUCCUGCUUGUGGCUAGGUGCCUUGUCUGAAUCAGGGGACAUCAGCAUGCAUGUUUGCUGGGAUUGCAGCCUGCAUGGUUUUUCCUGCAGACAGAACAAAAGUCAAACGUAUCAGAUAAUUAGAAACUAAAUGCAGUGUGUCUUUGAUUUACCUUUAAAUGUUGUUUGGCAUCAAUGGAUGUAUUCUGUACUGUCUCCAGACUUGAAUAAAGAUCUUUGUCUGGAGGUUCAUGAAUAAAACUGGUGAAAUUACUGGCAAUCACUCCAAAGAAAAAUACUUGGUGUCUGAAGAAGCUAAUGAAAACUUGGUUGAUACCAAAUAAUCUUCGAGCUGCAUAAGCGAGGAAAAUAAGGCCCAGGGAAACCCAGUGGUUAUGGAAUUCUAGUUUCAAAGGCAGAUCCUGGCUCACAUUCAGGGCGAUGCCUGGCCCUUUCUAAUGGCAGGAGUGGUGCAGGUGGCAGACGUGUGUUAUUUUUAAUAUCUUGUGGAGGUAAAGUCAUCUCUUUUAUGAGAACCAUGUAAUUGAGUUCCAAACCCAAGGGCUUCUGGGAAACAAUACAUCUAGAAUUAUAAGAUAAAUAUUUUUCUGACACAAAAAUCUCUUCUUUCUCUGUAUGUUAUAAGAAAUAAAUGCAUGAGGGAAAUCUAUUAAAUACCAAUUUAGGGAAACAGACAGAUGGGGACCCAGACUUUUAAGAAGCCUGCCAAAGCAAUUAAAAUCAGCUGGAAGUUCCCGGGGUGAGGUGAGGCAUGAGCAGAAGAACGGACCCCAGCUGUGGCUUGUGGAGAUCGUCCUCCUGAAGAGACCUGCCCAGAGUGGCAAGCUGGCAGAAUCCCGGCAUUUGUCAAGAGCUGACGGGUAUGAUGGGAACAGGGGCUUGCCCUGGCUGGGACUUCCCCCUGGAUGUCAUCAUUUACAGUUUACUCUCUCUGUUCCAACCUAUUUUAUUCCUUCCCUUGUUUUGCUUUGUUUCUUUGAGCCAGAGUUUCUCUUGAAGCUUUGGAGUCUGUCUUGGAACUCACUCUGUAGACCAGGCUGGCCUGGAACUCACAAAGAUGCACCUGCCUCAGCCUCCCGACUUCUGGUAUUAAAGGCGUGUGCUAACACUUCCUGGCUCCCAUUUUUGCAAAAAUUUUUUCAUCCAAUAUAUUUGAUCAUGUUUUUCCCUUCCCCCAACUCCUCCAAGAUUCUCCCCACCUCCUUACCCACCCAACUUUGUUUUUUUAUUUUUAAAAAAACAAAAACAAAAACCCACUCACAAAACUAAAAUCAAAACAGACAAGCAAAAGACCAACAAAACAAAAACUCCACAAACCACCAAUGAGUUUGUUCUGUGUUGGGCACAGGGCCUGCCUGCAGUGUGGUGGAUAUACCCAAUGACACUCCAUUGGAGAAAAUUGAUUUUUCCCUCUUCAAGCAGAUAUCAAUAGCAGAUAGCCUCUUGGCCAGGAGUGGGACCCCAUGUCCACUUCUCCCCAUCUCAGAGCUGGACCCGUUUGGCUUGAACCUGUGCAGAACUUAUGCCACAGCCUCUGUGAGUUCAUGUGUGCACCAGUCCUGCUGUGUCUGGAAGCCACUGUUUCCUUGGGUCAUCCAUCUGGCUGUUACAGUCUUUCCACCUUCCCUUCCCCAUAGCUUUGAGAAGACAUCCCAGUUAGGACUGAGUGCUCUAAAGUCUCUCUCUCUCUGUCUCUCUCUUUUUGUCUGUCUCUGUCUCUCCCCACAUUGUCCAGUUGUGAGUCUCUGCAUUAAUUCCUAGCUACUUUAAGAAGAAACAUCUCUGAUGUGGAUUGGGCAAUGCUCUGAUCUAUGGCUAUAAGAGUAUGAAAUUAGCCGGGUGGUGGUGGCAACACGCCUUUCAUCCCAGCACUCGGG